GGACGCUUAUCGGGAUUACUGCGGCGUAAGCGCGCGCAGGCGGUUUGUUAAGUCAGAUGUGAAAUCCCCGGGCUCAACCUGGGAACUGCAUUUGAAACUGGCGAGCUUGAGUCUUGAAGAGGGGGGUGGAAUUCCAUGUGUAGCGGUGAAAUGCGUAGAGAUCUGGAGGAACACCGGUGGCGAAGGCGGCCUCCUGGACUAAGACUGACGCUCAGGCGCGAAAGCGUGGGGAGCAAACAGGAUUAGAUACCCUGGUAGCCACGCCGUAAACGAUGUCUACUUGGUGGUUGUUCCCUUGAGCCCUGGCUUCCUGAGCUAACCCGUUAAGUCACCCCCCUGGGGGGUACGGCCCCAAAGUUAAAACCCAAAUGAAUUGACGGGGGCCCCCCCAAGCGGGGGAGCAUUGGGUUUAAUUCCAUGCAACCCCAAAAACCUUACCUACUCUUGACCUUCAGAUAACUUCCCUAAAAUUCUUUGUUCUCUUCCGGAACUCUGAGGACAGGGGUGGCAUGGUUGCCGCCGCCUCGGGUCGUGAAAUGUUGGGUUAAGUCCGCAACGAGCGCACCCCUUUCCUUUGUUGCCACGAUUCGGUCGGGACUCAAAGGAGACUGCCAGUGAUAACUGGAGGAGGUGGGGAUGACGUCAAUCAUCAUGGCCCUUACGACUGGGCUACCACGUGCUCAAUGGCAGUACAAAGAGAGCCACACCGCGAGAGAAGCGGACUCAUAAACCUGUCCAGAUCGGAUUGGAGCUGCACUCGACUCAUGAAGUGGAUCGCUAGUAUCCAGAUCACAUGCUCGGUGAUACGUCCCGGGCUUGUACACCCGCCGUCCACAUGGAGUUGUAGAAAGAAUAGUAGCUACCUUCGGAGGCGCUACACUUGGAUCAGAUGGGGACUACCCA
rnacentral:rRNA from 1 species